CGUUCCAUCAUCCGCACAUUAUUCUUUGGACGUUUUCCCACAAUGCCGAGGGGCUAAGCGUCCUUCACCCGCAUCCAAACUUUGCAGAUUGCAGGUGCCGCAACCAGGUGAGGCCUGAUGAGGAGAUAUCUAGACGGUAAUCCCUACAAUGAGGCCCGCAGGGGUGUAAGCAUUCAACAUGUCCUUCUGGAAGUGCCAGGAAUCGAGAUAGUGAACGACUCAAAUUACAUCUGAGCUCCAGAGUCAAAAACAAUUGUCAAAAGUGUCAAGUUGUCAGUUGUUGUUCAGAGAAAAAUGCAGUUGUCACUUUUUUUUUUGUGCCUUUAUUUUGAAGAGCCCACUUUUAUUCUGUUACUUCCUUUAUUACCGACGCUUGACUUCCUGCUCCUGUCGCAUCCGACGUCGACAGCAUACUCACGUUACUCCAGGACUGGAGGGUCAUUACGAGCUGUGUGUGGCUAACAAGCGGAGCAAAGUUAGCGGCCUCGGAAGCGGAAGAAGGAUACGGGACGUGUUGGAACGUACUGAUUUCCGGUACGGAACCUUCCGGAGGGUUGGCAGUGCAGGUUUAACGUCAUGUGACCUGACUGAGUCCACGUCCACGGUAAACAUACAGAAAGUUCCGGAGCAGAGUGUUUUGAAGAAGAAGAAGCAGCAGCGGCGCUUUGUAAAAACUGGAGACACUGAAAAGAGGACGAGUGGCACCUGUGUCGACGUCUCCAGUCUGUCCCGCCUCCUCCUUUGGCUCCUCCCACAUCCGUGAAGCCCCUCAAAGCCUGAGUGUCCAGUAAACCGUUCUCCCCAGGCUGAUACUGGGGUUCCGUGGAGGUGAAGUAGUCCUCCAGAAAGCCCUGCAAGUACUCGAAGGUGGGCCUCUCUUCCGGGUCCUUCCGCCAGCAGGAGAGCAUGAGCUCGUGCAAGGACCCGGGGCACUCGGACGGACACGGCAUGCGGUAGCCGCGCUCCACCUGGUCCAGCACCUCGCGGUUCACCAUGCCUGCGGGGGAACCACAGCUGGGUGACGCUGCUCGUUGCACGUGCUGAUUUUUGCACCAUGAAACAAAUCCAUCCAUUUUCUAACGCUUAUUCCCUUUCGGGGUCGCGGGGGGCGCCGGCGCCUAUCUCAGCUACAAUCGGGCGGAAGGCGGGGUACACCCUGGACAAGUCGCCACCUCAUCGCAGGGCCAUGAAACAAAUCGAUAUCAUUAAUUAAUUAAUCAUUUUAAUUCAUUUGUAAUUUAAUUAAUUCUCUUAAUUAUCGCAUCAUGCCAUGUUUUUUCUGCUGUGUCGACAAAUUGUUGUUAUCUUUGGUGAUAAUAAUACAUUUUGGCACAAAAAGCUAUGAGCAAAUCUAAUUUAAUGUUUUGAAUGCAACUUCAAAAGCGUACAAUUGUCUGCAAAGACACAUUUGGCUUCCUGUGCACUUAAGAUGUGACUUUAAGGUUUUACUACUUACGUAUAAAAUACUACACGGUCUAGCUCCAUCCUAUCUUGCCGAUUGUAUUGUACCGUAUGUCCCGGUAAAAAAUCUGCGUUCAAAAGACUCCGGCUUAUUAGUGAUUCCUUGCUGAUUAUCGGUCCUGCUAGACACCGACCUCUAUUUAAUAAUACAACUUUAACAUUUGACAACCAAAUAAUAAAACAAGGUGACUCGGUAAAAAAUCUGGGUAUUAUCUUCGACCCAACUCUCUCCUUUGAGUCACACAUUAAAAGCGUUACUAAAACGGCCUUCUUUCAUCUCCGUAAUAUCGCUAAAAUCCGCUCCAUUUUGUCCACUAAAGACGCCGAGAUCAUUAUCCAUGCGUUUGUUACGUCUCGUCUCAAUUACAGUAACGUAUUAUUUUCGGGUCUCCCCAUGUCUAGCAUUAAAAGAUUACAGUUGGUACAAAAUGCGGCUGCUAGACUUUUGACAAGAACAAGAAAGUUUGAUCACAUUACGCCUGUACUGGCUCACCUGCACUGGCUUCCUGUGCACUUAAGAUGUGACUUUAAGGUUUUACUACUUACGUAUAAAAUACUACACGGUCUAGCUCCAUCCUAUCUUGCCGAUUGUAUUGUACCAUAUGUCCCGGCAAGAAAUCUGCGUUCAAAGGACUCCGGCUUAUUAGUGAUUCCUUGCUGAUUAUCGGUCCUGCUAGACACCGACCUCUAUUUAAUAAUACAACUUUAACAUUUGACAACCAAAUAAUAACACAAGGUGACUCGGUAAGUUAACAAAGAUCAAAAUAAAAUGGAUUCUCAAUAUUUGUUAGCAAUAAUAUUUCACAUUUUGAAGUGCAAUUUCCACCCCAAUUGGCAAAACAGGGUUUGUUUUGUUGUCUUUUUGUUGCCAAUUGCAAUUGUCUGUGUAAUGGCUUUUUAAGGUCAUCAAUGCAAAACAAGUAUUUAAAUAAAUAUUCAACAUCUUAAAGUGUAUGCUUUGGGUUGUCUUUUGUUGUCAUCACAUCAUC